rnacentral:lncRNA from 1 species
AUUCCAAUAAUUCCCCAGGUUCAGGUGCAUCAUAUUUUAUAAGCUGGAAUGUUCCUACAUUUACUCGGGUACACCUACUUUGUUUUGAGGUAGCCUACUUGUUGUACUUGACUUGGGUAUUCCCCCCGUUGCCUAAAGACACACCCACCUGAGCCCCCCUCCCGGACUAUCGAGGCAAAUAUGGUCGGGUGCACCAGAGCAGAAAGACCCCCCUCCUCUAAUCCACUCCUUACGCAAAUAAACCUUCAUACGUUAUGUGACUGCUUGAAUAGAGGUUGAACAUUAGGAAUCUAAAAAGAGAAAGUCCUGAAAAGGGAAGCUGCUUGUUGUGGAUAUUAUCGACCACCAUGGCUUCCACACCCUCCACCUCUGCCCUGUCUGCUGUUCUCCGGUGUCGGGGAAAUAUCUGGACCAGGAAUCCGCCGACGAAGCGGCCUGCCACCUCGGCGUACAGCCUGGGUCUGACCGGCGGCUCGCCAGCUGAGCGCACCCGGUCAAACCAGGCGUCAGCGUGGGAGCCUUCUCUCCAAGGAGACCGUGUACUGGGGACGCGCACUCAUCUGGUGUCCAAAACGCGCUGGUGCGUCAGCAGGCAAGCAGACUGACUUUUAACUUGCCUGGAUUAGACACGUGCUCUCAAAUAAUUCGAAAGAUUAAUUGCAAAACAUAUUAUGCUACACACAUCUGUAAAAUACUAUUUGUUCAGGAAAUGAGUGUAUUCCCAGUUUUGAACGUGCUCAUAACGUCUCCGUGUGUGAUGGAGAAUGCAAGACAAAUACCGUCUUUCGUGUUAACUGGCUGGUCAACCCUGAAGAGUAGCUGUGUGUCUUUGACUGCUCUGGUGUCAGAAUUCAUGUUUUUAAAGCUGGCGGUGUUGUGGAGGUCCAGCAGCAGCCCUGAUGAUGCGCUAAAGCGGCACAACAUAAAAGCAAUGCCCUGCAGGCCAAUGGACAAAUCCACAGUCCCCCUGGCAUCACCUCCUCCAAGGACAACUCCGGCUCUGGACAAAUGAUCCCAGAGGACAGACCUGACUGAGAGUCCAAGGCCUCAGCACCAAAAACACACACUGUGAUCUAACCUUAUUUAUUGACUUUUACUUGGCUUUCAAAAUGCACAAAGCACAUUUGGACUUUAACCCAGUGAUACAACAACUGGUUGUUUUUAGAGCAGUUUGUUUUUUUGCUUUAAGGAAAAGUAAGACAUUCUGUGACAAGAAAUACCUGAGAAACAUCAGUCACAUGCAUUGUUUAGUACAUUAGGCCUCCUAGUGGAGAGGUAAAAUAAUGGCAGUGCAUUUUAUUUUUGAGGUUACCCUGUAGCUAAACAAAAACUUAUUUUGCAAACUGGAGUAAAACUAAAAGUAGGCCUAUUACAUCUCAGAAAAUGGAAAUAUUCCAAGUUUAAGUACAAACUAAAUGUGGAGGAAUAAUUGAAAGAUUUGUACUUAUUCUUUCCUCUUGUGUUUUGAAGAUGUUUGCUUGAUUUUUCACUCUGAAAUAUAUUUUGGAUAAAAAAUAUAGAUCCCUACAAAUGUCAAAGAUCACUUGCAUAAAUGUAGCCAUCUUUUAUACUUUCCAGAUGUUUUAACAGUGUCCUGUAAAGUAUGAAAGUCCUGUCAGAAGAAGUAUAUCAGAUCUUUUACUUUAGUAAAAAUAGCAUAUAUAGCAAUGCCUUUUAUUUCCACACAGCGUUAUUACUACUCUUACUUAAAAGAUCUGAGUGCUUCUUCCAUCACUACAUGUGAUGCUAUACCAUGGCCAGUCGUUAGCUUAGCUUAGCAUAAAGACUGGAAACAAGGGCAAACAACUAUAGCUCAUCUGGCUCUGUCCGAAGAUAAGAUCCACCUACCAGCACCUCUAAAGCUCAUUAAUUAACACGCUUUAUUUCAUUUCUUUACGUAAUAGGUUAUGUGGGCUACAAAAACUGAUGGCAAAAAUUACAAUUCCCCAUUUAAGGCCCAACUAGUUGGGACAAGUAACUCUGCUGGUUGCCUGGCAAGUGGCACUAGCCAAGAAAUAGUUUGGCACGUAAACCCCCAUAAAAUGUCUUUACACUUCUUCUUCUUUCAACAAAUGAGGUAUAAUAUGUUAAUCAGUGAGUUUACGGUGCUGGUUGGCAUGAUUUGUCACAUUUGGACAGAGCAAAUAGUUUUCCCCCCAAAAUAGUACUUUUCCUUUAUAGGCCACUUGGUUACAGUCCCCCACUGCUGCUGAAAUGACCUGGUGAAAGAAGUAGAUUGAGUCAGAAAUUUUACUCAAAUCGAAGUAGCAAUACCACAGUUUAAAAAUACUCUUUUACAAGUAAAAGUCAUACAUUCCAAAUCUUACUUAAGCAAAAGUACAAACGUAUUGACACCAAUCAAUUACUGGAUUAUAAUUAGUAAUGCAUUCUGUGUCCAUCACUUUAUUUGUGGGGCUAAUUACUUUUAUACAUGUUGGGUGGCUUAAUAAUAAUAAUAAUAAAUAAUAUAUCAUAAUUCAUUAGCCUAGUUAAUUCUGUAUUAAUUAUCUGAAUCUGCAAAGUAGUAACUGAUAAAUAGGCCUAAGUGUAAUGGAGUAUAAAGUACAAUAUUUCCCUGAAAUGUAGUAAAGUAGAAGUAUAAAGUAUCAUAAAAUGGAUAUACUCAAAUUAAGUAGGCUACAAGCAGUACCUGAAAAUUGUACAUAAGUAGGCCUGCAGUACAUGAGUAAAUGUAGGCCUAUAUUAGUUAAGUUACUUUACACCGUUGGAAACACCCUACAGAUAAAAAGAAGUAGGAAGGAAAAACGCUGUUAUAUGCUGUUUGGGAGAUUGUCAUCAGUGUAGAUAAUGAAAACCACAUUUCUCCACUAAACCAAACACUUUGCCAAUGACUUCUCUGCAGCUCAAGAAAAAAAUGUAUGUUGUUACAUAAGAUAGGAUCUCUUCAUUACCAUAUUUCGACGCCACAGUGUGUGAAAGCAGACAAUAAAUGUUUACAAAGACAUCAAAGGCUGCUGUUUCUUAAUUAGCUCCACUGAGAGCCGCUCG